UACGUAGGUGGCAAGCGUUGUCCGGAUUUAUUGGGUUUAAAGGGUGCGUAGGCGGCCCUGUAAGUCAGUGCUGAAAUAUCCCCGGCUUAACCGGGAGGGUGGCAUUGAUACUGCAGGGCUUGAGUGAAGUCGAGGUAGGCGGAAUUGACGGUGUAGCGGUGAAAUGCUUAGAUAUCGUCAAGAACACCGAUAGUGAAGACAGCUUACUAGGCUUAUACUGACGCUGAGGCACGAAAAGUGUGGGGAUCAAACAGG
rnacentral:rRNA from 1 species